UACACUUCGGUGGGGAUUAGUGGCGAACGGGUGAGUAACACGUGGGCAAUCUGCCCUUCACUCUGGGACAAGCCCUGGAAACGGGGUCUAAUACCGGAUACCACUCUCGCAGGCAUCUGUGAGGGUUGAAAGCUCCGGCGGUGAAGGAUGAGCCCGCGGCCUAUCAGCUUGUUGGUGAGGUAAUGGCUCACCAAGGCGACGACGGGUAGCCGGCCUGAGAGGGCGACCGGCCACACUGGGACUGAGACACGGCCCAGACUCCUACGGGAGGCAGCAGUGGGGAAUAUUGCACAAUGGGCGAAAGCCUGAUGCAGCGACGCCGCGUGAGGGAUGACGGCCUUCGGGUUGUAAACCUCUUUCAGCAGGGAAGAAGCGAAAGUGACGGUACCUGCAGAAGAAGCGCCGGCUAACUACGUGCCAGCAGCCGCGGUAAUACGUAGGGCGCAAGCGUUGUCCGGAAUUAUUGGGCGUAAAGAGCUCGUAGGCGGCUUGUCACGUCGGGUGUGAAAGCCCGGGGCUUAACCCCGGGUCUGCAUUCGAUACGGGCUAGCUAGAGUGUGGUAGGGGAGAUCGGAAUUCCUGGUGUAGCGGUGAAAUGCGCAGAUAUCAGGAGGAACACCGGUGGCGAAGGCGGAUCUCUGGGCCAUUACUGACGCUGAGGAGCGAAAGCGUGGGGAGCGAACAGGAUUAGAUACCCUGGUAGUCCACGCCGUAAACGGUGGGAACUAGGUGUUGGCCAUUCCACGUCGUCGGUGCCGCAGCUAACGCAUUAAGUUCCCCGCCUGGGGAGUACGGCCGCAAGGCUAAAACUCAAAGGAAUUGACGGGGGCCCGCACAAGCAGCGGAGCAUGUGGCUUAAUUCGACGCAACGCGAAGAACCUUACCAAGGCUUGACAUACACCGGAAAACCCUGGAGACAGGGUCCCCCUUGUGGUCGGUGUACAGGUGGUGCAUGGCUGUCGCAGUCAGCUCGUGUCGUGAGAUGUUGGGUUAAGUCCCGCAACGAGCGCAACCCUUGUCCUGUGUUGCCAGCAUGCCCUUCGGGGUGAUGGGGACUCACAGGAGACCGCCGGGGUCAACUCGGAGGAAGGUGGGGACGACGUCAAGUCAUCAUGCCCCUUAUGUCUUGGGCUGCACACGUGCUACAAUGGCCGGUACAAUGAGCUGCGAUACCGUGAGGUGGAGCGAAUCUCAAAAAGCCGGUCUCAGUUCGGAUUGGGGUCUGCAACUCGACCCCAUGAAGUCGGAGUUGCUAGUAAUCGCAGAUCAGCAUUGCUGCGGUGAAUACGUUCCCGGGCCUUGUACACACCGCCCGUCACGUCACGAAAGUUGGUAACACCCGAAGCCGGUUA
rnacentral:rRNA from 1 species